rnacentral:rRNA from 1 species
AUGAAACAGUCUUCAGGGAAUAAGCUAGCUGACUUGUUUACAAACACUAGCACUGCAUUAUUGGUUAUUGCUGUCCCAAAACGCAACAAGCACGCAGAAAUGCUAAACAAUUUCAGCUCAGACAGAUAUGGCGCUCAACAGCAUAUCACACACACGAGCAUCAUCACUACUGAAACUCCACCUGUAAAAUGGUACCCUGCGCUAAUUAUUGCAGCUGCAUUAUUGCUGCUGUGCCUGGGGUCAGAGGGCAACGCAGACGGAUGGCUCCCAGGCAGCGCAGGUGGCGUCCGUCGCCCACCGAUGAAGGUGACCGAUAGGCUCGCCGGCUCACUGAGAGGUCAGCUCUAG